GCUUGUCUCAAAGAUUAAGCCAUGCAUGUCUAAGUAUAAAUAAUUCUAUACUGUGAAACUGCGAAUGGCUCAUUAUAUCAGUUAUAGUUUAUUUGAUAGUCCCUUACUACUUGGAUAACCGUAGUAACUCUAGAGCUAAUACAUGCGCAAAUUCCCGACUGUCGCAAGGCGGAAAGGAUGUAUUUAUUAGAUCCAACCAGCCCGGUUCGCCGGAGUCCCUGGUGAGUCAUAAUAACUGAGCGAAUCGCAUGGCCUUGUGCCGGCGAUGGUUCAUUCAAAUUUCUUCCCUAUCAACUUUCGAUGUUUGGGUAUUGGCCAAACAUGGUUGCAACGGGUAACGGAGGGUUAGGGCUCGACCCCGGAGAAGGAGCCUGAGAAACGGCUACUACAUCCAAGGAAGGCAGCAGG
rnacentral:rRNA from 1 species